CUAAAACUAUUUCCACGCAUCGCCUGAUCCUUGCUCCACCUCAGUAUUAGACAGAGUAAGGUGAGCAAAGUUUCAGGUGUGUGGGUGAGAAAUGAUUAAC
rnacentral:pre_miRNA from 1 species